UCGGGAAGUAGCUCAGCUUGGUAGAGCACUUGGUUUGGGACCAAGGGGUCGCAGGUUCAAAUCCUGUCUUCCCG
rnacentral:tRNA from 1 species